CUUGUGUGUUUCAUUCUCUGUUUCCUUGCGUGCCUGUUUAACUUCUUGCUUAGUUGUUUGGUUCUUGCUUGCUUCCUUGUUUUCUUCUUUCAAUCCUUACUAGCCUCUUGCUUCCUUGCUUGUUUUCUCACUUGCUCCUUUAUUACAUGCUUACUUAAUUUCCUUAUCUACUGAACUUGUUUGACCUUUUUAUCAUUUUCUUAAUCUUCUUACUUACUCACUUACUCAAAACUAUCUCUCUAGCUUGUUUCUCAGUUGAAUUUUAUUUAGAUAGUUCUAGGUCUCUGUUUAACAAUAGUAUAGAUGGAAGACUAUUGAGCGUUUAUCAACGGUUUCACACGAUUCCAGUUAUACAAUAAUGGAGGUCUAUGAUCAUUCUUCUCUCUUUACGUCCUCAUUGAUCAGAUUUUAAUUUCGUUUGCAAUUUUUGCAACCAGUUUCUGAAGCAAGAGCCUCAUGAAUUCCUGGGGACCAUGAAACAAGAGGGAACCCUACUUUUAAAAGGAAAGAAACAUUGGCAAUCCUCAUCUCUGGAUUUCUAUCAAAUUUGUUUUUGUUCCUUUCUUCUGUGGUAUUGAGGGUUUUGUACUUCCGCUGGAUUACGAGAGGGCACUCAAGUUUUCAAAGAGGCGAAUGAAAAGAUUUAGGUGUUUUUGGUGAGGCAUAAUGGCUUCACAUUAUUGUUUUGACUGGUUAGCGUCAUAAAGGUAAUAGUCUUGGUCAUCGUGAUAUGCCAUUAGAAUUUGAUGCUUCUCUGAGGUAUAGAAUAUUUGGUGAAAAACUCUCGCGGUUAUUUUUUAUUAUGUUAGCAUUCGGUGUUUCAAGAGUACAUUGAUGAAGUUUGCGCCUGAAUGGGAAGAAUAAUUUCUCACAUCCAAUGUGUGAUGGCUGCUAUAGUUAUGAGACAAGUUCUUAAACAGACCGUAAAAGAAGGGAAUGCAUCAACGACCUUUUAGCAUGAAUAGUUAGUCUCCCGGAUGAUUAGGAUUGAUCAUAGUAGAGGUAUAUCGUUACUCUAAGAUAUGAGAAGUUUGAUGUUCCAAUGGCCUACACUAUAGAGCAACAAUUAUUGAUGUUGGAAUAGCUUGGUCUGCAAGUUUUUACCGCUACCAUUUGUUCUUGACUUCUUUCAUGGGUUUUGGUUAGUAUAUGCAGGGAUUUGUUCUUCGGUUGGUUUACAAGAGGGAACUUAACUAUGAAAAAGGGAAGAAGCUUGGGGAAAAAAAGAACAAGAGAAGAUCAUGAUCAGCUAAAAUAGAGUAUACUGGAGGGAGCUACUGAUUCAGAAGAUGCUCAUCACAAAGACUUCCUUUACGCUUGUUAGACAAUAGACACCAAUUUUCUUUUCUUUCAGUUUAAUUUUCUUAUUUGUUUGGUUGUCGGAUCAGGUUAAAAGAUACCACGAACUCUCCUAGAAAACCGGAGUAUAUUGCAGUAGCAGGAGCAGAUUGAUGAUUGUGAAGCAUGAACACGAGUAUUGGAAAUAUGUAGAGGAAGGUUAAACCUGAGAGAGACACUACUUUGCCAACCGAGAUAUGCCAGAAACUUGAAGACCAUUUGAGCUAGUGAGAUCAAUUAGAGGACCAGAUUCAUCCAAUCAUUGAUAAGAGCCAGUACCAACCUGAUAAACGAGAUACAGCAACAUCUAUGUCAGCCCACAAAGCACGAAGAGUACUUGAUCAACCUCUUCCACAUCCAGUUUCCCGAACCCGGAAAAUCUGCAUCCCAAAACAAAAUAUAGCUGCAUUCAUGCAUACAUCCAUACA
rnacentral:misc_RNA from 1 species